rnacentral:lncRNA from 1 species
UUGGGGUACUGUAUGAUCGAAGGAUUGAAUUACACGAUAACUUACCACUAAAAGAUAUUUUUGAUAUUUUUAUUAAAUUUUAUAUCUUUUAGAUAGUCAUGACAUAUUGCUAGAUGUCAAUCUUGACUUGUGAACUUAUAAGAAUUAAAGAAGUUUAAUUCAAAAAUUAAUUAGAAAGAUUUUUGAUUAAUUGAUGCAUUUAGGCUGACCUAAUCUAAUUGGAUUGGUUUAGGUUAUAAGCCUGAGUCCACUGCUGGCUAGAUAUGAAAUCUAAUGGGUCACACACUUUGAGAUUUG